UAUAUUGUGAAACAUUUCUGCCUUGACUAGAUCAUAGAAAACAGUAUUUGGAAAUGCUUCUGUUUCAUG
rnacentral:pre_miRNA from 1 species